GAAGAUAGGGUCAAUCCGACAUUGGAUUGAAUAUGAACCGGUUUGAUACAGUUCCAAUUUUGAUAUUUGUUCAAUCAACUAUAAUUCUAACUGGUAACCAUUAAAAAAUAUAAAGAAAAUGAAAGAAAUAAAUGAAAAGAAACAAAAUAAGAAGAAAAUCUAUUUCUUUCAUAAUUUGAUCAAGAAUAAUUGUAAUCUAUUAUUCUUUAAAUUUUAAAGAAUGUUAAAAAAUUAUAAAAAAACAAAUAUUCUUUGUAAAUGAUGUAAAUUAUAAGAAAUGAUAAAGAAUUCACUAUUCCCACUCAUUUCCAUCACCAUUUAAUCUUAAUAUCUUAUCAGUUUAGGUUAGGUUUGACAUUGUGAUUGGAGGUCAAACAAAAUAAAACCAUAGUCAAAUUAAGAUAUAUUAAUUGCUUGCUUUCUGAAUCAGUUUGUUUUCUAUUUGAUACUAAAUUCGACCAGUUAGUUUAAUCUAAUAAAAAAUCAUACUCUAAGCUUUAAUUGUUCUGUGUGUUAUUUAACCCGCG
rnacentral:lncRNA from 1 species